UCUACCUUUAAUCCAAAUCUGCCUCCUUCUGUCCAAACUAAAAUCUCCGCCUCUCUCGGAAAUGGAUGUCUCGCAUCUUGAUUUCUGCAACGUUCUUUUCUGUGGCAGUGAUGAAUGUAGUCUUGCCAUUCUCAUAUCCAUUCAAAAUGCUAUUGUAAAGAUACUUUUCCUUGCCCAUCACUUUGACCUCUUCGCAUUCCUCCUCUAGCUCUCCUUAUGCAUUUGCAUCAAACAUAAGCUACUUGUCCUCUCUUUAAAGGCUCUUCACAGCCUAUCCUCACCCUACCUAUCCUUACUCAUUCACUAUUGAGAUGUCAACUCCUGCUUUCAGUCAGCCCAUGCUUCUAGCCUCCAUCACCCACUUGUUAAAUUUUCAAACAAGGGCAUUUUGCACAUCCUCCCAUGCUUGGGAGGACCUCCCUGUAGACUUUCUCAACACCUACUUCAUCAUACUCCUUCAAAACCCUCCUUAAACACUCCUUUGUCAUGGGUACAAAAUGCUUAAUGAUGGUUAGGCUGCUGCUGUGUUGAAACCACUGUCUAGCAUGCUGACCAAUAUUGUCUCAUAGUUUCUUUGUACUCCCCUUUUUGUUUGUCCCUCUGUUGGGUGCAGGGUCAGGGGCCACACCACGCUUGAGGUAAACGCUACUCAGACCCUGAUUCCCCUCCCGCUCUCCAAAUCUCUCAUCCUCAUCCCAGAGCCUGCACCCCCAGCUGGAACCUGCAUCCCUUCCCACAUCCCUGCCCCAGCCCUGAUCCCCGUCCUGCCCUCCGAACUCCUCGGUCCCAGCCCAAAGCACUCUCCUACACCCCAAACUCCUCAGCCCCAGCCUGCACCACCCCCCCAAUUUUGUGAGCAUUCAUGGCCCGCCAUAAAAUUUCUAUUCCCCAGUGUGGCCCUCGGGCCAAAAAGUUUACCCACCCCUGAUAUAUACAUUGGCUCUUUCAUACACUUAUGCUGAUAUCACAGUCUGUUUAACUUUUUAAAGAAAAUUCAUAUAGCAGCAGUACAACUAAAUGUUUUGUGUGAUACAUACAUACUUUCAAAAACGGAAAUUUAUAGGUGAGACAUGCACAGUCUGCAUCCUUUACAUGCUGCAUUGUGUCAGGUAUUAACACCAAACAAUAUCACUAACAUGACUUAAACGCAGUCACACCAACCUACAUUAUGGACAGAAUUCAGCAUUUAUUUAAAAGUAUGCUUAAAAAAAUAUGUACAAAGAAAUUUUCAAAUGAGUUCUUUUGCAGGUUAAUUUCUUCCUCUGCACUGAAGGAGGUAUUUGCAGAAAUGUUGAGGAUGACUGUUCUGUCAUGAUGAAGUUACCUUUCAGCUAAUUUGCUAUAUGUGGUCUUAAAAGUUGAAUGUUUUGAAUUAGCAUCAAGAUAAUAGGAGAAAAAUAUUCUGUAUAAGUAAAUACUUCAGCAGGAUCAAAGUUUUUAAGUGAAAGGUUUGUAGUAUAAUUCUAAUAAAUCAAUAUUUAUCACACUAAAGCAAAGGAGAUUAAAGGCAGAAACAUACAGCACCGUAAAAAGAAUUUAGGUAACAAAAGUAAAGUCAGCUCCCGAUUCCUGUCUACAUUUCAGGAUCAAAUGAUGAGGUUGCAAAUAAGUCUUCAUGUAUAUUUGAAUUCAACAGUCUUUCACAACAGAAAGAGAGAAUACUGAUACCCUGGAAGGAGAGCAUGCUGUAUUUCAAAUGGUUCACAACCAGGUGUUGAAUGGCAAAUCUAGAACUAAACAAAUGUUGCUUGUUUUGUUGGGUAUGCAGUUAUUUUGGCACAGAAAUACAGUGAGAUACAGACUUUCCUAAUUCUCUCUAGCUUGUCAGAUUUACCCCUUUUAAUCUUCUACAUUUUUAGGAAGAGUGACUCAGAUGUAAAGUAUCAUCACUUGCUCAAAGUUUGACUGAAGUCAGUUUAUUAGGGUAUAGAAGUGGCAAGUUAACUCAACAUUUUAUGUAAAUAGCAGAUUAGACAAGUAUUUAUGAUCUCAAGUCAAUAACCUUGUGUAGAGUUGAAUUAGGAAGACAUUUAUGUUCCAAAACAAAAUGUAAACACUUUGGAGAGAGACUCUGAGUGUACUUGUACAGUGCCUAGUGCAAAGGAUCUUUCCUGAUGAAGGCCUCUGAGUAUUACCUCAGUAUGGAUUUUUAAUAAUUGUAUAAAAAUUGUCUCCUCCUUUUGCUUUGUUAGACAACUAAAUAUUAGAAUCCCUUUUCUAGGCAAAUGUGGAUGACACCAAUGUGUUUAAAAAAAUAAUUGUGUUUUGUACUUGAUGUUAACUGUUGCAAAAGAAAUAAAUUCCAAACUCGAGUUUUGGUGUUA